AUGGGUUAGUCGAUCCUA
rnacentral:snRNA from 1 species